rnacentral:lncRNA from 1 species
UAUAAAGUGAAGUGACAGCUCGACUCCACAGUUCGAAGCGCUGAUCUCUCGGCGCGACGCGAGAGUGCUUUUAGUCGAUCGUAUAUCGACUAAACAUAUCCGGCUCAACGGCCCCUCGAAGCAACGUGGGCUUCUUGGCCCAACGAGUUAAAAGCCCACGAAGGCGACGCGAGCUAGGUCACAGAAGAGCAUCAAGUCGAUUAUAUAAGGAGAAGGGGGGUGCAACGUAAAGAGAAUCCAAAAUCA